GAGAUCUUUUUCUUUCUAGAUAAUAUUAUUACAUUAUGCAUAUAUUUAAAUGUCGCGUCCAAUAUCUUAAACGCAAAUGCAAACUUAAAAAUAAUAAAGCUGAUAAGAUAAAUCUUUUAAACCGUAAAAUCCAUAUGCAAAAAGUAAUAAAUAAUUUAACUGAAAUAGAUACAAAAGAUUAUUACAAUAGAAAAUAUUCAAGAAAAAAAUUGGAAAAGUUUUUAAGCACACUGAUAAGUUAAUAUUGAAUACAUAUCUUCAUGCAUAAAAUUCGUAAAGGUCAUUGCACUUAAAUAAUUUAACGAGGGAAUAAAAAUGUGAAAAGGGAUUAAAGAACAAAAGUAGAUACAGAUCGAAGAACAUGCAAAGAUCGACUAAUAAAAAGAAAUACGAUUAAUUAUCUAAUAUUUAUCUAAACGCAUUCUUUAUUUUACUUGUUCAACAAUCUUUCACAGAUCUGUCUUCAAAACAUCGGUACUCCUGGAUUUCAUUUGAAUAAAUCAUAGAUUUUCGGGAAAUAUUGAUUUACAAAGACUGUGUCCGCUAGGACUUUCUUCAAGUACGAAUCACGCGUUCGUCAAUAAGUUACACGUUCAGUCUAUUAUUUACGUCGUUAGGAUAAGGUUCAAUUUGAGAAGAUACACUGACAACUGUUACUGUGAAUAUGGAAUACAUUUAUAUAAUAGCAAUUUUACAAUUGCAUCUGUUGUGUCUUAUAAUUGCAAAAUACUUCAUAAGACUAAUGAACCGACGAAGAUUCAUACUUGCAAUAUAUACAUUAUUUUAUAUAUCUGCAAUUAAUAUUGUGCUACUUGAGAUAAUUAAUGAAAGGAUUAAUAAAAUGUCAUUAUCAGAAAUUUUAAAAGUUCCAAACGUUAUUUUAGUAUGGAAUAACAGAACUGUACUUUUUGAAAAAUUAAAAACGAACUAUUAUCUUAGAUAAAAACCGCGAAUUUGUUUUAGACGACGAUUGACGUGCUGCGCAAUCAAAUUUAGCAUGUUUGUACCACAGACAGAUAACAUAACAUAAAACUAUGUGACUAUUACAAGUACAAAAAACAAAUACAUUUUCCAAAAUUGCGCAGCUCUUGAUAAAAUUAUCUUUAAUUUUUUGGAAACAUGAACGCAAAGCGCGAGAUUGCGUCUUCUAAGAAUCUCCGGAAUCGUUAACUGCUAUUAACGAUAUUAUUGAUAGACUCUAUAAUAGAAAAUAAUAAGCAUUAUAAACAAUAACAAAGUAUUAAACGAUGCUUGCAUUUUAUCUUGCUGAUAAAAUUUACAGUUUUUAUAUUCGCUAAUAAUUAAUUUAAAUAUAUAAUGCUGAAAUUAUAAUAAAGUUUUUAGAGGUUUUAAUGAAGUAAGAUAACAUAGAAAGAAUCUUUGGAAAAAUUUUUAAGUAACCGGUAGGAAAUUAAAAACGGAGAUAGGUCCAAAUUGUACUGUGUACCAAGCCAACGAUAAAAAAGUAAAUUGGAAGUGCAUUUAUUUUAAUAGCGAUAUUUAGCCUGAUACGUAUAAGAUACGUCCAUCUGUAAUUUUCCUGUACACACAAAUUAUUACAGUCCUGCUUUCGACAGAUACUUUUUCAGAUUUUCUAAAUAGACAAAUUCGAGAAGCAAUUGUUGCAGUUUAAAAUUUCGCAUUUUAGUGUCCAAAGAACUCCUCAAAGUUUGCAUAAUCGAAUAGUCAACUGUGAUGAUUAAUAGCCUCAUGUGUUAAAUAUAAUAUGAGACCUAUAGUUUCUCUAUAAGUCUUCAAUCUUAUUAUAGACAUGGAAUUUAUAGACACAGAAUGACAUUACCUGGAUGCGAAUUUUUCAUUACGCUUUCAAUAUGGUAUUCUUUGCUAAUAUGGCUAAUAUUUUGGUCUCAGUUUAUGCAAUCUUUAUUUAUAAAUAAGCAUGAUAACAGAACUGCAAAGAAGCUUUUUUUUAAAAGAAUCUUUGAUCGGUGAGUAAAUCUUUGAUUAUUUUUACGUAUAGAAUUUGAAACGUGUUAAAAAUUGGCAACAGAAUUUAAUGUAACCGAAGCAAAUUUCAAACAGAUUCAUUAAAAAUAUUUAAAAUACAUUUAAUGUAAAUUU